rnacentral:rRNA from 1 species
AACGAACGCUGGCGGCAUGCCUAACACAUGCAAGUCGAACGAGACCUUCGGGUCUAGUGGCGCACGGGUGCGUAACGCGUGGGAACCUGCCCUUAGGCUCGGAAUAACUCCCCGAAAGGGGUGCUAAUACCGGAUAAUGUCUUCGGACCAAAGAUUUAUCGCCUUUGGAUGGGCCCGCGUUGGAUUAGCCAGUUGGUAGGGUAAAAGCCUACCAAGGCGACGAUCCAUAGCUGGUCUGAGAGGAUGAUCAGCCACACUGGGACUGAGACACGGCCCAGACUCCUACGGGAGGCAGCAGUGGGGAAUAUUGGACAAUGGGCGAAAGCCUGAUCCAGCAAUGCCGCGUGAGUGAUGAAGGCCUUAGGGUUGUAAAGCUCUUUUACCCGGGAUGAUAAUGACAGUACCGGGAGAAUAAGCUCCGGCUAACUCCGUG